UAUAGUUUCCACCAUGAUAAGCAAGCAUACCCUUAGUUCCAUGUAGACUUUGGCGACUAGGGGUAAAAUCUUUUACUAUUCCAAACAAAUUGACAAUAGUAUUCUUCUUUUGUAAUUCUUGAGAGCUUCUAAUGGACUGAAAUGUAAGUUCCUUUUUCAUUGUUAGCAAAACAAAUAUAAAUCCAUUGAUAUCUCACUCCAAUCUUAUAUUCUCCAGCAUUUAAUAACUCAUUCAACUGAAGACUGUCAAUAACGUCCUCUCCCAUGCUUGAUCAACGAAUGAUCCAAAUAUCCUUUAAGAACAACAAAUGAGUUUUAGCCUUUCUCAGAAACCUAAAUGGAAUUGGUAAAAGCUUUUUAAACCAAGACAACCCCUUGAAAGUGAUGAACCUUCAGAUUAUUCAAUAGACUGCGUGAGAGUUACUUGUUCAAGCUUGAUCAUUCCCCUUCUUCAAAUUCCUAGGAUGAACUAAGGGUUAUUCAGUUUUAUUUUACCAAUAAUGAAUUUGUUUCUUUAUCAAGCAAAAGAAUGACCCACUCCUCAAUCUUGAGGUUAUGAGUGUUCAUGGCUAGCUAUUAAAUGGAUCGCCGUAAAGUCCUUAAGCUGAGCGCAGUUGUAAAACUUUAGACAUAUCCCAGUUUCUGCUAGGCUAUUAUUGAAAGAGUUUGCCGAGUAUCAAGAUUUACUAGUAUUAUAAUAAGCAGAUCGCAUACCGGUUCAUGCCAAUUGGUACUUAAAAAUUUUAAUGUAUGCGGUUCAUCUCGAAAACUCAAGACGCUUACUUUAGCUAAUCUAACGUUCAGUUUAGAAAAAGAAUGCAAUGCAAAAAGCGAUAGCUUAUUAAAAGACUUUCCUAAGGUAUUGCAUUCACGAUCCAGAACAGCAAACCUGCAACGAUCUAUUUUGGUUUUAAAAGCGCCAACCUGCUCUAUGCGUUUAAACCCAUGUAAGUUUAACUUACAAAAUAAGCAAUUACUUUCAAUAUAAUAAAAAAUUGAUCCAAUCGAAUAUAAUAUAUACGAUUUCAUUGUCAUAAUACCUAAGUUUUGACAGUAGUUUGCUCAUAAUCUACAAAAAAGAAUAAAACUAAAAGAAAGAAAAAAACAUGCAUGGUUGUUCGUCAAACCUAAAUGCCAAUUAUGCAGCGAUAUAAAUAUCCCC